AAGCAAAGGAGCAUUCUCUAGCACCGUUAACAUUACUUGGUGUCAGAAGGGGGAUCCGAAGGAGAUGAACCCCUGAAGAACUAAUGAUCCCUGGAAUCAUGCACGGUACCCACUUGAUCCUCUUGUGCUCCCCACUUCCUUUUGGUUCGGUUCAAAAGAUUCAAUUCCAGAUGGUGCUACAACAAGGAUACCAGCCAGUUGGCACACGGACUACGUUGGAGCAAGCCGCCUUAUCAUUCCGUGGGCUCUCAUCUCCCUCUGUAAAUACACCCUGACAGAGAGCGGGCAUUGGGAACCCAGGACCCCUAUGACGCCCCUGUCCAGCAGGAAGAAGCUAGGAACAGUCAUCGCCCCUUUCCCCAAUAACCUGGGUUCCUCUGGCCGGAGAUGGGGAUAGAUAGAUAGUCAGUC